rnacentral:rRNA from 1 species
AACGAACGCUGGCGGCGCGCCUAAUACAUGCAAGUCGAGCGAGAAGACGUAGCAAUACGUUUGUAAAGCGGCGAACGGGUGAGGAAUACAUGGGUAACCUACCCUCGAGUGGGGAAUAACUAGCCGAAAGGUUAGCUAAUACCGCGUACGCUCCUUGGACUUCGGUUCAGGGAGGAAAGCGAUACCGUGGGUAUCGCGCUCUUGGAUGGGCUCAUGUCCUAUCAGCUUGUUGGUGAGGAACGGCUCACCAAGGCCUCGACGGGUAGCUGGUCUGAGAGGACGAUCAGCCACACUGGCACUGCGACACGGGCCAGACUCCUACGGGAGCAGCAGUAAGGAUAUUGCGCAAUGGGCGAAAGCCUGACGCAGCGACGCCGCGUGGGGGAUGAAGGUCUUCGGAUUUGUAAACCCCUUUCGGGAGGGAAGAUGGAACGAGCAAUCGUUCGGACGGUACCUCCAGAAGCAGCCACGGCUAACUUCGUGCCAGCAGCAGCCGCAGU